AUUGAACGCUGGCGGCAUGCUUUUACACAUGCAAGUCGGACGGCAGCACAGAGAAGCUUGCUUCUUGGGUGGCGAGUGGCGAACGGGUGAGUAACAUAUCGGAACGUACCGAGUAAUGGGGGAUAACUAAUCGAAAGAUUAGCUAAUACCGCAUAUUCUCUGAGGAGGAAAGCAGGGGACCUUCGGGCCUUGCGUUAUUCGAGCGGCCGAUAUCUGAUUAGCUAGUUGGUGGGGUAAAGGCCUACCAAGGUGACGAUCAGUAGCGGGUCUGAGAGGAUGAUCCGCCACACUGGGACUGAGACACGGCCCAGACUCCUACGGGAGGCAGCAGUGGGGAAUUUUGGACAAUGGGCGCAAGCCUGAUCCAGCCAUGCCGCGUGUCUGAAGAAGGCCUUCGGGUUGUAAAGGACUUUUGUCAGGGAAGAAAAGGCUGUUGCUAAUAUCGACAGCUGAUGACGGUACCUGAAGAAUAAGCACCGGCUAACUACGUG
rnacentral:rRNA from 1 species